CCUACGGGAGGCAGCAGUGGGGGAUAUUGCACAAUGGGGGGAACCCUGAUGCAGCGACGCCGCGUGGGUGAAGAAGCGCCUCGGCGCGUAAAGCCCUGUCAGUAGGGAAGAAAAUGACGGUACCUGUAGAAGAAGCCCCGGCUAAGUACGUGACAGCAGCCGCGGUAAGACGUAGGGGGCAAGCGUUCUCCGGAUUUACUGGGUGUAAAGGGGGCGCAGACGGCGAUGCAAGCCAGGAGGGAAAGCCCGGGGCCCAACCCCGGGACUGCUCUUGGAACUGCGUGGCUGGAGUGCAGGAGGGGCAGGCGGAAUUCCUGGUGGAGCGGUGAAAUGCGUAGAUAUCAGGAGGAACACCGGUGGCGAAGGCGGCCUGCUGGACUGCAACGGACGUUGAGGCCCGAAAGCGUGGGGAGCAAACAGGAUUAGAUACCCCAGUAGUC
rnacentral:rRNA from 1 species